rnacentral:tRNA from 1 species
UGCGUGUCAGGGUUUCUCUGGGGUUUCGUCAGGCUCAUAACCUGAAGGUCGCAGGUUCAAAUCCUGCCCCCGUAACCA